CAUUGACGGAUUCAUCCGCGCCGCCGACUCCACGGCACAGGCCUGUCGGGGGUUCAACGUGAGGCCCUCUCCGCCGAAACAGGAAGUCUCAUGGAAGAAGAUGUUCCUACCUGGCGUUGGCUUAUCGUCAUCUGAAAUAUAAGUAAUGCGUGAGAUUCGGCGAUGAACACGUGGUCUCGUGAAAGAAUAUACAUCUGCUUGGAAUCAGCAUUUGUAUGUCUAGGAAUUAGAGGAAAACAGGUAAAAUAUACGCUUGAAAAAUAAAUUUAAAUGAUUUAGCUUUUAAGCUAAAGCAUUUACGUAGAAAAUAAUUAAAAACGUGUGAAUUUUCUUUCUUUCUUUAAAGUAAUGACAAAAAUAAAUUUAUUAAUUAAUUUAUAAGGUAAAAAUAAAUAUAUAUCUGUCAUACAAUUAAAAGAUUUCUCUGAUUCGAUUUUCAGAGAUUGACACAU